rnacentral:rRNA from 1 species
UACGUAGGGCGCAAGCGUUGUCCGGAAUUAUUGGGCGUAAAGAGCUCGUAGGCGGUCUGUCACGUCUGCCGUGAAAACCCGAGGCUUAACCUCGUGGCUUGCGGUGGAUACGGGCAGACUAGAGGUAGGUAGGGGAGAACGGAAUUCCAGGUGUAGCGGUGAAAUGCGUAGAUAUCUGGAGGAACACCGGUGGCGAAGGCGGCAUCCUGGACCAACACUGACGCUGAGGAGCGAAAGCCAGGGGAGCAAACGGG